UGGUGCGAGCCUGUUUGUGGGCGCAACCCAAGGCGAAUUUCAAAACACAAACUACGCACGUAGAUGUCAUUCUGGACCAUUUCCGGACGUGGGUUCGAUUCCCACCGCCUCCACUA
rnacentral:tmRNA from 1 species